GGACCCUAGCGCUCUUCGUGCUAUCUUCUUCUUCUCCCUGCUCUGUGAAUCAUCAUUUCGAACAACUUGAACAAAACCCUCAUCUGCGAAUCCUCUGCUCAUCGAUUUGAACAAAACCCUCCUCUGCGAAUCGUCUCCUGUGCAAAUCCUCUACUAAGCCAUUUGAACGAAACCCUUCAUCUACGACCUGUUAGCUCAAAUUCGAACGAAACCUAUAAGAAGAAACAAGUAAUUUGCUCCCAAGCCCAUGUUAUACCCUGGCAAGUGAUUGGGCAUCAAGCAGGACUCUUUUUGUAUAUGUGAUCAAAAGCAUCUUCAAUUGCAUUGUUAAUCGUAGCCAUUAUUAUAUAUCAGAUUCCAAGGAAUGAAGUUGUGAACAUGAAAGAAUUCCAAAAAACAUUCUACUUUAAACAUUGAAUCAUUGAUCCUUACGCCACUCAAAAGGAAAAUGUCUUGCAUUGCUGUCAGCUCAUUUAGAAAAAAUGCAUUUUAUAGUUCAACAAUGAGAAGAAGAAGAUCGUAAGGGAGGUCACAGAGGAAGGAGAGAAGGGAGAAGAAGAAGAUAGCAAAAUGAGUGCUAGGGUCCUCUUUCAUCCUUCGAAAGGGUUUUGUUCGAAGAUAGCAAGAGAUCUGGUUUGUGUAGUGCACUGUCUUCCCGAUCUAUGACAUGUGUCCAACAACACGUGUCAUCAUCUAACCAGGUCUCUGCCAGUAUCCGCCAAUAUCCCUUAGAGUAGACGAUUUUAAUCCGGAUAUGUUAGCAUAGUCCGCCGCAUUUCCUGUAGACCUAAGCCAUUAUUUCAUACAUUGAUUUUAUGUUUUGUUCAUGAUUUUAAUCUAAUUUUAUGGUGGAAUCUUAUUCUCAAAUGACAUCUCUAUUCUAUUCAUCCAUAUCAUUUUUUUUUUUUUAAGUUCUACUUGUGUUGGUUAGGUUUCAAUAUCAAUUCCACUGUCUAUUUAAUA